rnacentral:lncRNA from 1 species
UAUGAGUUCUUGAGAUUCUCUGGGGAUUUUUCAUAGGUCUCACCCAUCACUGGUCAUGUAAAUAUGUCAUUUUUAGCAAAAUCACAUUCUCUUCACUUCUAUCUGUUCUAUAUUGCUGCAAGGACUGCUUUUUGAACUAGGGUAUGACAAUGAUCUGUCUUGAUAGUGUUUGUGAGUCAAUUCAGAAUUACAGUGAUUACUAAAGUUGGUCACAUAUUCCCCCCAUCUCUAUAUGCAUUCCUCUUUGUGAUGUCACUUUGCUGUCCUUUCCACUAAAUAGUAGAACCUAUUUCUCUACCCUCUUGAGUCCUUGUCAUGUGAUUUGCCUUGACCAAGAAAAUCUCAAAGAAGUGAUGUUAUGGUAAUUCACAGACUACACCACAACAGGCCAGAAACGUCUACCUUAUCCCUCUUGAAAUGCUACCCUGAGAUUGACAUAUGGGGAGUCUGGGCUAGACUCCUCGAGGGUGAGAAACUAUGUGAAGCAAGGUCUGGCCAAUAGACAGCCCCAAAUGCCAGAAUUGGGAGUGAAGUCAUCAUAGACAAUCUGUCUCUAAUGGAGUCCCCAGAUGUGUGCAGAAUAGGAAUAGCCCCAGGAAAGACCAACAGAAGAACCACUCACCUGAGCUCAGCCCAAAUUGUUGACUCACAGAAUUAAUUACAAUCUCCUGUUCCCCCUGAAAGAGCCCAGAUAGAUUCCCAGAUGAGUAUCGGAAGAGGUAGCUGCCAUCAGGACUUGCUUGAUGGACCCAAGCACUCAUCUAAUAGUGGCACUGGAAGAAUUAAUCUGGCUGAUAUAUCAGACCUCUCUCCUCCGUGGGAACUUGCCAUUUUCUCCAGCCUCUGAGUUUUUCUAGUGAGAUUCAGAGAUACAGCCAAAUCGCCUUAUACAAGGCAGGUGCUUGAUACAGGUUGAAUGAAGAUUAUGUUUACCAGGUUCCAGCCUCAGAAUAUUGGAAUCCACUUUCUCUGAAUGCACGGAGAGCUAGAAGCACCUGGGAAUUUAUGUUGCCCAAGAGCAGCCCUUAGCCAAUGAUUGACAGGUGGAGGAGUUUAAAUACUUCACCUCCCUUGCUUCUUAACGGGAAUUACUUCAAAAUAUGCUGCCUCCAGAUCUCCCCUGCAGAUUGAGCCACAGUUAUCUUCUGCUAGACUUUGUUUGCUAUCACACACCUGCUUGGGUUUUUCCUGGAAACACUUCCUAUUAAACUGGUUUUAAAUGAGCCCUCAUUUCAGGAUCUGCUUCUAGGACCUUUGAUAGACAGCUUUUGACAUGUUCUCCAAUGAUCUCCAGCACCUUCUGUUAAUGCCCUUAUACAAUCCCCUCACCAUGAGUGUGCCAUGUUUCUAAAUCCAAAAGUGAUGAGUGUCACUUCCAUGAUUGGGAUAGAAGAGAUUGACUUCCAUCUUGCCACCAGACUCUCUAGCUUGUCUUCUCUCCUUGUGUGCUUUGAUAAUGCAAGCUGCCACAUUGAAGAGACCCACAUGGCAAAGAAAUGAAGGUCAUCUCUAGUCAACAGCCAACAAAGAGCUCAAUGCUGCCAAUAACUACUGAGUGAGCUUGGAAAUGGAUACUUCCCCAGUCAGACCUUCA